UACGUAGGGGGCUAGCGUUGUCCGGAUUUAUUGGGCGUAAAGAGCGUGUAGGCGGCCACGCAGGUCCGUUGUGAAAACUGGAGGCUCAACCUCCAGCUGUCGACGGAAACCGUAUGGCUAGAGUCCGGAAGAGGAGAGUGGAAUUCCUGGUGUAGCGGUGAAAUGCGCAGAUAUCAGGAAGAACACCAAUGGCGAAGGCAGCUCUCUGGGACGGUACUGACGCUGAGACGCGAAAGCGUGGGGAGCGAACAGG
rnacentral:rRNA from 1 species